UCUCGGUCCAAGAGUUGGACAUGCCAUCUUCAUCUCUUCUUUUCUAGAUUCAGUCCAAGAGUUAGAUGAAACGAAAAGAAGAGAGAUUUGAUCUCUCAUCUUCCUCCUCCUCUAGAUCUUCUUUUCUCUUAAGAAAAGAAAAAAAAAAAUUAGAUUUGAUUUGAUUUCUUGCUCCUCCUAUAGAUCUCUUUGGUUCUCUUUAGAAGAGAAUCAAAAAGAGAAAAAAUAUUUGACAAUUCAAGAAGUGAUCUUUGUAAGGAAGUUAGCACCCUAGUG
rnacentral:lncRNA from 1 species